rnacentral:lncRNA from 1 species
ACUGUUUAAGAUUUGUAUGAUUUGGUGCAAUCUAAACGUGCUUUUAGGUAUUUAGAGUUUUAAUGCAAUGAAAGCUAGUUGACUUUAUGCAGUCGCAUCGUACAUUUAUACAUAUUUGUUUAGAACCCACUGUUAGUGGUGCAACUUAUAUGAAAUGCUAGGCAGACCCUAAAAGGCCAUAAAUUGUGGGCAUCCUAGCCUAUGAAUAAGAAAACAGGGGUUUGUGCUCAGAAAAUAUAAACUGAAUACUUCUUUUUAUUUUUUUUUGUUCUCAUUCCCUUUUCUUUUAUUCUAUUGUCUAUCAUUACCAUUACUCCGUUGUAAUCAAUUUAUGGGCAAAGAACAACAUCAGAUAUUUGCAGAGCUGUGACCAUAUGUGAGAUUGAUUUGAGACUUGGAGGUUUUUCGGGGUUGAGUCUUGUGCCAUAGUGUUAAAAUGUUGAACCUUCACAUCCUUAUGUACUUCAUGGUUGGCAGUGGCUUAUUGUGGAUUCUAGUGAUCUGCUUGUGUGGACUUAUGAAUCAGGAAUGAACUUACAUGCAGUCAAGCUUCAUGUUAUCCAUGUGCAUUUUGGCGCGUAUUAUUCUUGUAUCUGGUAUAUUCCUAGUUUUCUUUUUUUAAAAAUUUGUAGAUUUCUUCUGUAAUAUGCUUAAUGCUUAAGUUCUCCAUUGAUGCUUAUCCUUUUAUCACUACAACUUUACCUCUUGCUAAUGUUUUAUCAAAAACUAUAACUAAUUCUCUGAGAAAUAAGGUUACAUAUCCCCCCCCCCCUCUUUAAGGAAAUGUAAAUGCUUCAUGUCUAGUAUUUUCAGAACUGAUAUCUGUAUAAAUUUUGUCAAU